rnacentral:sRNA from 1 species
CAAUAGCCCUGAUGGAAACGGCAUCCUUUUUUGUGGCGGACGGAACGGAGAGGAGACCGCCACAAAAAAGAUAUAGUGGACAGCAGGUUCCCGG